AGGCACCCAAGUUAUUCUAAAGAAAUCCUAAUAAUACAUUAGGACCGUUUUGAAUAUUUUUAUUUGAUUAGCCAUAAUCUUCUAGUUAUAACAUCCAUCACCAUCUUGACCACUGAAACUUGGCCUUCUUUUCUUACAGCCUAGCCCUGUGGUCUUGGGCUAAUCACUGACCUGCUUAGAUACAAUUUUCUUCUCUAUGAAAUAGAAACAAUAUUAUAUGCUUUGAAGGACUGCAGGAAGAUGAGCUGUAAUGUUUAUCAAGUGCCUAGUUAGCUCUAGAGUCCUUAAUUCUCCAUUCAGCAUUAAAUUAUUGACUAUUUUGCCACAACUACUGAGCCUGCGCUGUAGAGCCUGCGAGUCACAGCUACUGAAGCCUGUGUGCCACAACUACUGAACUCCAUGCACCUAGAGCCCAUGCUCUGCAACAAGAGAAGCCACCAAAAUGAGAAGCCUGCACACCGCAUAGAAGAGUAGCCCCCGCUCACCGCAACUACAGAAAGCCCGCGUGUAGCAAUGGAGACCCAACACAGCCAAAAAUAAAAUAAAUACAUUUAUUUUUUAAAAAGUGGAUGUAUUUAAAAAAACCCCAAAAGGUCCUACUGUAUAGCACAGGGAACUAUAUUCAAUAUCCUGUGAUAAACCAUAAUGGAAAAGAAUAUGAAAAAGAAUGUAUAUAAAUGUAUAAAUGAGUCACUUUUCUGUGCAGCAGUAAUUAACACAACACUGUAAUUCUAUACGUCAAUAAAAAAUAAAAUUUAAAAAAACUGCCAUAAAAAUCACCACAGAAGGGGGACUUCCCUAGUGGUCCGGUGGUUAAGACUUCGCCUUCCAAUGGAGGGGGUGAGGGUUCGAUCCCUGGUUGGGGAGCUAAGAUCCCACGUGCCUUGCGACCAAAAAACCAAAACAUAAAACAGAAGCAAUACUGUAACAAAUUCCAUAAAGACUUUAAAAAUAGUCGACAUCAAAAAAAAUCUUUAAAAAAAUCACAUAAAUCAGAAACAAAUGAAACAUAAUAAAGUCCAUACAUUAAAAAAAAAGAGCAUGGGUUCUGGUCACAUCCCAGCUUCCCACUUACUUACAGCUGUGUAAUUCUGGGCAACUCACAUAAUGUCUCCUCAGACUCCUCAUCUAUAAAUGGGGAUGGUAAUAGUUCCCUACCUCAUACUGUUGCUGUAAUCCAUAAACACGGUUAAGUGCCUUGGUAAAUUGUUUGAUGCUCUCUGUGAAUUAAAAUAUGUCAAUGGCUUCUGGCCAUACGAUUUAUAAUAGUUUGACAGUUAACCAAAUGGUAAAACUAUGCCAUUUAUUAUUCCCAUCUCUUUUUACCCCUUACCCUGUUUUGUUGUUUAUGUUUUCUCCCACCACAGAGUGUUAGUUCCAGGAGAGCAAAAGCUUUAUUUUGUUCACUGCUGAAAGCAAUAGCACCCAGAAAAGUACUGUACAUAUGAAGCCCUCAGUAAACACUAGCUGAAUGAAUGGUGCAAACUGUCACAAGGAAAAAUACACCAAAACUUUCAUUAUAAUAAAAAAGUAUAGAUAAA